AUGAAAGAGAAAGUCUUUGGUCAGAACAGAAAUAAUUGGAUAAGCAAUAGAAUAAUUUCAGCUAGGCUCUAGUUGGAGAGUCCCAGAUCAGCCCAACCAGAGAAGGCCCAUGAUCAGAGACCCGACAGCUACCCGGGAAGUUUCAAACCCACCCAAUGAGAACACAACCCUCCAGCUUACUUUAGCAAUAAUGUAGAACGAAAUUCUAACGUAAGCUGGGGUGAGAAAUUAGGGUUUAAGGGAAGUUGCAAAUUUGAAGAAAAUUUUGGACACCCAUAUCAGCUCCACGAACUGACGGUUACACGAACGCUGAAAACCGCAAUAAAAAAAAAAAAUCUCUUCAACUGUUACCCGGGCCUAUCAUUGCUGAAGUAUUUAUCUUUAAUCUCCAGGAAGUAGAAACCUGAAGACAAGCAUAAGAGAGAAGUUGCUGAAGAAGCAGCAAAGACCCACAAAUUAAUCUGUUAUUAGUGCAUGAAAACAGAGAAAAUUAAUUAUGGAUCUCGAUGACUACACCAUUAUCAAGGAAGGAGAGGCUGAGAUUCUCAUGCACAAUAAGAACAAAGUGUUUUUCAACAAAGCCCAGGUUCACAACAGAGACUUAUCCAUUGCUGUCCUAAGGACAUUUGUAUCUAAACGCAAAGAGGAACAUGAAGCAAGGUUGUCCAGAAGAACAAAAUCAGUACAAAAGUUAUCUGAGAAAGAUGCUUCUGGAUCUGGCAUAGAAGCAUCUGAUAGGCCUGCUGUGGAUAAUGAAAAAUCAAAUGGAGAAUGUGAAGACAAGGUAUCUGACAAAGAUUCUUUAGGAUCUUUAGCUGUAGAGGUAUCUAAUGAGCAUGCUGUGGAUGGUGAAAUAUUGAAUGGAGAAUGUGAAGUGCCAGAAGAGAUAAAAAAAGACAAACCUUGUAGCAUAUCAAAAGAAGCAAUGAAGACCACAGAGCGAAAAGUUCAAAGGGAGCUGGAGCCUCCAAGAGUUCUUGAGGCACUUUCAGCUUCUGGGUUAAGAGCUCUAAGAUAUGCUCGUGAGGUUGAAGGGAUUGGUCAAGUAGUUGCCUUGGACAAUGAUAAAGCAUCAGUUGAAGCUUGCGGAAGAAAUAUAAAGUUCAAUGGUUCAGUAGCAAUUUCGAAGGUGGAAUCACAUCUUGCAGAUGCUCGUGUGUAUAUGCUCACCCACCCAAAAGAAUUUGAUAUGGUUGAUCUUGAUCCCUAUGGAUCACCUUCAAUAUUUUUGGACUCAGCAGUUCAGUCUGUUGCUGAUGGUGGCUUGUUGAUGUGUACAGCAACUGACAUGGCAGUGCUUUGUGGAGGUAAUGGCGAGGUUUGCUAUUCCAAGUAUGGCUCUUAUCCAUUGAGAGGGAAAUAUUGCCAUGAAAUGGCUUUGAGGAUCCUUCUUGCCUGCAUUGAGAGCCAUGCAAAUCGCUACAAGCGUUACAUUGUUCCUGUGCUAUCUGUCCGAAUGGACUUCUAUAUUCGAGUUUUUGUUCGUGUAUACUCUUCUGCAAGUGCAAUGAAAAACACUCCUCUUAAGCUAUCCUAUGUUUAUCAAUGCAUUGGUUGUGAUUCUUUUCAUCUUCAGCCUAUUGGAAGGACCAUUUCCAAGAACAACAGUGUGAGAUAUAUGCCUGGAUUUGGUCCUGCAGUUGCUCAAGAGUGCAGUGACUGUGGGAAAAAAUUUAGCAUGGGCGGACCAAUAUGGUUUGCUCCCAUCCAUGAUCAGGAAUGGGUAACUUCCAUACUAGAAGGUGUAAAAUCUAUGAAGGACCGAUAUCCUGCUUAUGAUCACAUCUCUGCUGUAUUAACGACAAUAUCUGAGGAAUUGCCUGAUGUUCCUCUCUUUUUGAGUCUCCACAACCUAUGUGCAACACUAAAGUGCACUUCCCCUCAGGCAGUAAUCUUCCGCUCUGCUGUGAUCAAUGCAGGAUAUCGUAUCUCUGGAACGCAUGUAAAUCCACUGGGGUUAAAAUCAGAUGCUCCUAUGGAUGUCAUUUGGGAUAUAAUGAGAUGCUGGGUAAGCGCUCAUUUCUUAGGUCCGCCUUCAUGGUGCAACUGUGUAGAGUCAAAAUUCAUCCUGUGAAAGCGCAAGCUCCUGAUCAACCGGGAAGUGUGAUACUUGCCAAAGAACCAGUUCUUCAGGCAAAUUUUGCUCGUGCUGUCGCAUCUCUUAGCAAGGCACAAGCCAAGAAGGUUGCUCGCUUCCUUCCAAAUCCCGAAAGGCAUUGGGGGCCAAAAGUCAGGGCGGGCCGUCAAAUUACUAGCAAACACGUCUCUCUUUUGGGUCCAGAGGCAGUGAAUGGACAUCUUAACCAUGAAAAUGGGGAAGAGACUGAAGCCAAGCGUCAAAAGACGGAGGAAACGGAGGCUUCUAUGUGAAUUUCAAGAGAAUGUAGCUUAAGUUGUUUUAUAGUACUAAACCUGAGCUGGUGAGUCUCCCAUGGUCAGAAUAUGUUUUCUACUGAUAGAAGGCAUCCCGUAAUUCCCGCAAGUAAUGAAAUUUCAAAAUGCCAUUGAAGUUGACACCUCUUGCUGAACUAGCCCCAAUGUUGCGCCAAUUAACGUCAUUAUUUAUUUACUUGCUAUUUUUGUUGUGGCAAUUUUCCUUCUUUUGCUACCCUUGUGAAAUAAUAAGUGAAAUUCAAGAAAUUUGUAUUAUUGAUUUA